CAGAUUUAGGAGGCGGGGCCUUGCAGGAGGAAGUACUUCUCAGCAGAGGGCAGGGGGAGGUUUCAAGCCAUGGACUGCUUCCUUUACUCUCUGACUCCGGCUUGCACUUCAAGAGGUUUGCUCUCAGAGGCUGUUUUACCACCACACUUGCCUGCCAGGAUGGGCUCUUAUCCCUCUGGAAUCUUACACCAAAUAAUCUUUCUUCUUUGAGCUGCCUUGGUUAUGGCGAUUUUUGUCACAGCAACAGAAAGAAAUAACUAAUACAGCAAGACAACUGAAAAGGAUACUUCUUUGGGUUGAAAUUGAUGAAUGGGUGGAAAAUAUGAUGCAUCUAGAGCUGUUUCCUGGCAUCGAAUAACCUAAAACCAAACAACAAAAGGCAGCCAUGGAAAAAUGAGAGCAGACAAGGAAAAAAAAAAAGCCCUGAAGUCUUCGCUCCCGCUGAUUGUUACCACACAAGCAAGGAGCCUGCUGGUCAGGAAACAGGCACAGCCUUCUGUAAUUGGAUGGAAAACUGUUUGUUGUGCGUGCUUGGCCUGCACAAAGGAAAACCCAGUGAGGCCAGAAGACAUCAAAACAAAAUAUGCAAUUCACUAGCUGUAAGCCAUUAAAUAAUGAACAAUGCAUGAUACCUACAAUCGCCUCUCUUUACCUUCUACGUCUCACCAUUGUACCUUGUUUGUAAGGAGCUGUUAUUGUGGGAUUCUUCAGCCUUUGAAAAUGUGGUUUGUUCUUGACCUCAGCCAGUCCAAGAGCAGAAGUGAAAAAGAGGUGAGAACAGAGCAAGACAAACCCACAAUGCCCACAUUCCGGCUGUUACUCUCUUAGGAACGAUCAUUCCCAGGGCACAAAUACGUUUGCUAUGGGUGGCUAGAAUAGGAAGAAGGAGACUUACAAGCUAGAGAUGUGGAAUGCUCUCUUGUGAUUGAGACAGAGGGAGGGGUGGCUUCUAUUUGCAACAUCGGGGGUUACAGGAUUUUUUUGCCUCUGUAGCACAGACUAUCCCUUACUUACACCAAGGUGUGACUUCUAAGUUUGUUAUUCUGUGAUGGUGCUAGAGUUGUAUGCACACAGUAAAAAUUGUCCUCUGGAUUUGGAGUUCCAGUCUUUGCUAGGACUAGCAAUGAUCAAUAGAAUGCUGACAUUCUCUUGUGGUGUUUGCCAGAGGCAGAAAGCUUUAGCUCGCAGUCAGCCAUGGUGAGGGCAAACUGCAAAUACUGUACUUAGAUCCUGUGCCAAGCUCUGAUGCUUGGCCAGACAUAUUAGAUGGAUUUCAAUUUAGAGUAAUUCCAAUUAAAAAUGGGAAGGAACCCAAUCAAAAGUCAAGGGGCAUCUGUGUGUGUAACCGGGCUUGGCCUAAGUAUUGUAACUGGCUAACACGUGGUUCUGACAUCUAAGAAUUGUGAUGCAAUGUCUCUGAGACAUGAUCUCUUCUUAUUAAAACCUUCUAGAGGAAAAAAACUUCUCUGAUGAUAUCAAAAGAGCUUCCUCAUCUUAACCCUUAAGGGUGUUGUUCUCACACAAAGAGAUGCCCCUACUAUUACCCGAGCUUUUAAAGAAUUUAUUUUUGUUGGUUUUUAAUAUGUAUAUGUGUGUUAGGGAUAUAUGUGUGCAUGUGAGUACAGGUGCCCAUGGAGGCCAAAAGAGGCCUUUAAAACCCCAGGAGCUGGAGUUAUCUGCGGUCAUGAUCUGCCAGGUCCGAGUUCUUAGACUCAAACUCAGGCCCUCUUCAAAAAGCAGUACAUGCUCUUAACUGACGAGCAUCUUCAGCUCCAUUACGGUUUUGUUGUGGUGGUUUGGUGGUGGUGGUGAUGGUAGUGAUGGUGGUGGUUUUGUUUUGUUUUGUUUCAUUUUGUUUUUUCAGAAUAUAUCUUAUCAUGUCGAUCGGGCUGGCCUUGAACUCACAGAGAUCCUACUGCCCCUGCCUCCCAGGUUCUGGGUUAGAGGUGUGUCCCGCCAUAACCAGCCUUUAUCUGAACAUCUAUCAUGAUAUUUUUAUUCUCAAUUACACAAAAAGCACAUGGUUGAUUCUGGUUUCUUUUUUUUUUCUGAGACAGGGUUUCUCUGUGUAGCUUUGGAGCCUACCCUGGCACUUGCUCUGUAGACCAGGCUAGCCUGGAACUCACACCUGCCUCUGCCUCCGGAGUGCUGGGAUUAAAGGUGUGUACCACCAAUGCCUGGCCUGGUUUCAUUUUUUUUUUAAAGCAUGAAAAUACCAAGUCCACUGUCUCCUGAUAUUUGCUUCUGAGAGUUGGAUGUUGGGAGAGCACUGGUGGCAAGGACACACAGGGGUCACUAGAUGUGCUCAAGAAACUUGGUUCUAACAAUGUUGAAUUUUAACAUCUAAUUACUUAAGUGUCAGAGCCUGGAAUGUGUCAUCUCCUGUCCUAUAUUUGUAAAAGUUAUUCAUCUGUGCUAUCCUGCUAGCCAUGAAAAUGACAGUGAAAUAUA
ensembl:lncRNA